AUUGAUUAUUAAGGCCUUUUGAUACGGUUGGCAGAUUGAAGUGUCAGAAGAGCUGCGCUGGUGGCGCCAUCUUAUUAAUAAGAUGGACACAUACUUCCGCUACACUUUUUAGAUUUAGACGGUGUGUGUUCGUGAUAAAACAAAUAAAUAAGAAAAUCGUUCGUUUUCAGCGUUUGCACGAAAAGAUCAUCGGAAUAACCACAUUGGUCAGUCGGUUAUCCAUUGCGUUUACUGCAGCAAGAGUUUUUCGCCCAAGGAACAAUUGAAAAAUCAUCAAGUCAAACACACUGGCAUUUCUCCGUAUCAGCGAGGAAAGCACUGUUCAAUUAGGUUUCCCGGUAUUCCAUCACAAUGCCACAAGUAUCAUGGACCAAUGCAGAAUCUCAAGGCGAUCCUAACUUGGUGCAAAAGUUCUGGAAUAUUGUUGUUGAUUUUUUGUUCUGUGCCGCCGCCUGUGGUGUCUAUGCCGCAGUACAGAACAAUUUUCCAAAUGAUCAUUCAACUGAUAGAGCAUAUUGGCCCGUUGUCAUUUUUGCUUUCUUUCAAAUUUCGAUGAUAACGUUUCGUGCCUUUCAAGACGAUUUCUUGGAUAUUUGCAGUACUCUCCCACACAUUGUCGCCAAACUUAUCUUUUCGGGGCUUAUGUGGAUGAUGUCGGCUAAUUGUUGCGUGAUUUUUUUCUUACAAACUCCAAGUGCAUGCCCAGAUGAGUGGGUGAUUUGUUACGAAACCGCUUCUAACCUAGCAUUGCUGAUGUUUGUAUGUCUUUUAACUUAUUUGGGUUCUACUCUGUGGGCAAGAACUUUGGUGAACAUAGAGUAAAUUUCGCAGAAAAAGAAUGUAAUGCAACAAACAAUGAAGAAUCAAUUAAACACACAACAUGAAAUAAUUUGAAAGAAA